rnacentral:rRNA from 1 species
UUACGACUACAUAUCAGGCAUAUCAAUAAGCGGAGGAAAAGAAACUAACAAGGAUUCCCUUAGUAACGGCGAGUGAAGCGGGAAGAGCUCAAAUUUGAAAUCUUCAAGGUUUUACCUUGACGAAUUGUAGUUUAAAGAAGUGUUUUCUGUUGGAGUUUUGGUAAAAGUUCUUUGGAAUAGGACAUCAUAGAGGGUGUGAAUCCCGUAUUUGACCAUUAUUUCCAGCUUUGUGAUACACUUUCAAAGAGUCGGAUUGUUUGGGAAUGCAGUCCAAAAUGGGUGGUAAAUUUCAUCUAAAGCUAAAUAUUGGCGAGAGACCGAUAGCGAACAAGUACCGUGAGGGAAAGAUGAAAAGAACUUUGAAAAGAGAGUUAAACAGUACGUGAAAUUGUCAAAAGGGAAGCGUUUGACACCAGUGUUGUUUUCUCGAAAAUCAAUUAAAAAAGUGCAGGAUUUUGUGUUGUAUUGACCUUUAAUCAGCUUUCUGCACUCUUUUCUUGUCUUUUUUAAUGCACUUUUCGUUUAACAAGUCAACAUCAAUUUCUUUUGUUGUAAAAGGGUCAUUGGAAGGUGGCUUUCUUUUCGGAGAAAGUGUUUAUAGCCUUUGGCCUCUGCAAUCGGAGAGAUUGAGGUCUGCAGCGUAGAUCCUUCGGGGUUAGAUACAUUUGUGCUAAGUUAUAGCCUUUCAUAGACAACUUGUUGACUAUGAUCAGUCAUGUAGCUUACUCGCUUAUGCUAUUUUACCUACGCUUAGGAUGUUGAGCGCAUGUCUCUCUCU